GAGUUGUUAGCUCAGUCUGGUUAGAGCACUGGACUUUUAAUCCAGGUGUCGCGGGUUCGAAUCCCGUACGACUCG
rnacentral:tRNA from 1 species